CUGCCGAGUAGAAGCGUUCAGCGCAGCCGGCCAUCCACCGCCCGGCAGCGCCCGGAAAUUGCUCAGUUC
rnacentral:ncRNA from 1 species